rnacentral:tRNA from 1 species
GUUAAGGUGGCAGAGCCCGGUAAUUGCGUAAAACUUAAACCUUUAYWACCAGAGGUUCAAMUCCUCUUCUUAAC